AACCUCAUCGGCCGGAAGGGAUUCCUUCCGGUCGAUGAGGUAUAACAACCUCAUCAACCGGAAGGAAUUCCUUCCGAUCGAUGAGGUG
rnacentral:miRNA from 1 species